UGCCAACAUCUGUCCUGUUAAGUCAAAAUGUCUGCCGUUUGUCUCAUCAAAAAAACAAAAAAAACACCAACAGCUGCUGUUAAUUAGCGAUGACACACAUCUGUGCAAAAAUGACACAGGGAGCGUCUGUCUCGUGGGAGUCUACCGCGAGGACAUCAACGGUCAAACGAACCCCGUCGGUUCGGUUCGAACUGCGCCACAUAUUUAUCUUUCAUCGACCAGUCGGCAAUGGCAACAAACAAGGAAACGACUCCUGCUUGGAAAACAACGGUUAUAGUCAGCACAUCUCUCCAGAAACAUGACAUUAACAGGAUGCUCAGCACGCAACAGCACCGACUCAGAUUCUCAGACAGUGUUGAGUCCGGAGCCUUUAUCUUUCCUCUGUCAGGAACUGCAUUUCUGUUGGUUGACCCUCAAGACCUCCCAGAGCGUUUUGAGGAAUCAGGACUCAUGGAGAGGAUAAAGAAGUUUGUGCAAGUACACCGCAACAGCUUCCUACUUCUAUAUGCGCCAUUUAUUGGAAAAAGGGAAUUGGAAAUUUUGUCAGGGAUUCAGUGCAGGUUCUUGGGCAGCAAUCUCAAGAUUCUGCCUGUACGAAACAAUUCUGAGAUAGUCAAAGGAAUGUUGACGAUUGCCAAGGCCACCAGUAAACCCCAUGCAGUCACUAUUCACGACCGGAUGUCUCUGGCUCAGGCUCACAUCGUUGAAAGCAGUCCUGUGUGGGAGAUGCUAAGAGACAUACUAUGAAGUUCAGCAGGUCUCUGUAGUGAGAGAGGAGGAAGGCAUGAGACACAGAGCAGGCCAGUUCUGGUUCACGUUAAUGUCAGUCAGUCGAAGUAGGUAUUAAGGGAAAGCAGCGACUGCCUGAAAGACAUGAGGAACCUGUCAGCAGCAGGGACAGGGAGACUGGUCAGAAUUGAAGGGAGGAUGAAGGAAAUACAGAGAGGUCCUUGAAGAAAUGCUGCUCUGAGGUGCAUAAGACCAUAGAGGUGAAUUUUUAUUGCAAAGCUUUUGUUUUAGACUGCACAAGUGUACCCAAUAGACUGGCCUUCUAAGUGUAAAUGAUGAAUCAAUUGUAUGAAAAGGUCAAGUAGUUUAACUUAUUUGUAGUUAUUGCACUAAACAAGUAAGUGCUAUGUUCAUUUGACAUGCGCAGCACUGCUCUUAGCCUCAUUGUGUUUUGACAGUAUGAGACAAAUAAAUCUACCUGUGACAUGUGCUGGGUGCUCCAGACUUUUCUGUGUAAUUAGAUGGAAAAGCCUGUUGUACAGUGAGGCACAAGGAUUAAGAAUGCCUUUCUAUGAUUGCUGAUUGACAACGUAUCGCUCCUCUGUGUAAACACAAAGGCUUCUCCCCUGUCCCCAGUGUCCACAUGCGUGUGUAAUAUAAUAGAAAAACAAUCACUGAUUUCCUGCUGCAGCCACACAGCUUCAGUAAAGGAGCAGCUCAAGUCCUGAUUUUAGAUGAAUAGGGAGACAAGCGUGUUUGAACGGUUGGAUUUAGCCAACAUCUGCCGCUCAGGUUUGCUCUCUGUAUUGCCGUGUGAUGAAAGCCCUAGACAAAAGCCGCA